rnacentral:rRNA from 1 species
AUUGAACGCUGGCGGCAUGCUUUACACAUGCAAGUCGAACGGUAACAGGGAGCUUGCUCCGCUGACGAGUGGCGAACGGGUGAGUAAUAUAUCGGAACGUACCCAGAAGUGGGGGAUAACGUAGCGAAAGUUACGCUAAUACCGCAUACGAUCCACGGAUGAAAGUAGGGGACCUUCGGGCCUUAUGCUUUUGGAGCGGCCGAUAUCUGAUUAGCUAGUUGGUAGGGUAAAGGCCUACCAAGGCGACGAUCAGUAGCUGGUCUGAGAGGACGACCAGCCACACUGGAACUGAGACACGGUCCAGACUCCUACGGGAGGCAGCAGUGGGGAAUUUUGGACAAUGGGCGCAAGCCUGAUCCAGCAAUGCCGCGUGAGUGAAGAAGGCCUUCGGGUUGUAAAGCUCUUUUGUCAGGGAAGAAACGGUAGAGGCUAAUAUCCUUUGCUAAUGACGGUACCUGAAGAAUAAGCACCGGCUAACUACGUGCCAGCCGCCGCAGUAAAAC